AUGCCAAACAAGUGUCAUUAUCCCAGUGGAAACAUUUGGGGAAAAGGCUUGAAUCUGUUACUGAAACAGAUUAAAACUCAGAUUAGAGCUCAAACAAUAUGUUAUUCAAAAACAGCCAGAAAACAUUUCAGAUUUCUACAUUGUCACCAAGUUGAACUCAGCAAAUACAAAAUGAGUGGUACCAUCUCUCCGGCUGGACCUCCCCAACUCUUAAAGAACAGUUUUCAUCACGCGGUGUGAACCUCCCAAGCCACGGCUGCUUUCUCUCUCCUCAUAGGAACAGGAGCUUUAAAGAGCAAGACAUUCCGAAGUAGGAAUGCCAAAAUCUGCUAUGAGGCAAAAGCUUAGAGGUGGCUGGAAAUGAGCUGUCGUUCUGCAGCGUGAUCCACAGCAGAGCUGGAACCAGGUAAAGCCACAUGUGUCUAAAUGCAGCCCUUGCAUGCAAAAUGAUAGAUCAAGUUUUUUAGCCACUGAUUGUGUCCAUCUCACCCGUUCAGGUGAUCAGGACUAGAUGGCCUCUACUGCUUCAAUUAUGUUGGCCGUUAAUGACAAUACUUCUCACAAGCAAGCUGGGCUGCUGUGCCUGAUACUCCUAUAGCUCUCACCACGUGUGGCUGCUGCCACUUCAGCUGUGGCCUCCAGGUAAGAAUUUAGCAUUUUGCACAGCUCUGGACUCCUGGAAAUGCCUGAAUACAGAGAGACCAGGAGCGAGCUGCCUCUCCGGCUGAUUUGCCUCUCCAGGCAAAUUUGGUGAAGAGAGCUCAGCCCUGACUCAGGGUAUUCCUCAGGGCUAAAAGAACAAAUCUAAAUGUACUUACAGCAUGCUUUUCCACUCUCGAAAAACUGGUUCCACCUGUGGGUGCUGAGCCUGUAACAGCCUCCAGACAAUCUGUCCCCCUUGGCUGGAAGUCAGGGACCUUAAGAGAGCAGAGAGGGGAAAUCUGCAGACUUAGGAAGAGAGAUCCGUGUUCUUCCCAAGGACCUCGG
rnacentral:lncRNA from 1 species